rnacentral:rRNA from 1 species
UCAAGAAACUUCCACAAUGGGCGAAAGCCUGAUGGAGCGACGUCGUGUGAUGGACGAAGUGCUUCGGCACGUAAACAUCUUUUAUGUGGGAUGAAAUUAUUGACAGUACCACAUGAAUAAGGGGCUCCUAACUCUGUGCCAGCAGGAGCGGUAAUACAGAGGCCCCAAGCGUUAUCCGGAAUCACUGGGCGUAAAGGGUGUCGAGGCGGUUGUAUUAGUCGUUCGUAAAAUCUACGAGCUUAACUUGUAGGCGGCGAACGAAACGGUACGACUUGAGGUUUGGAGAGGUGCGUGGAACUCACGGUGUAGGGGUGAAAUCCGUUGAUAUCGUGGGGAACACCAAAGGCGAAGGCAGCGCACUGGCCAAAAUCUGACGCUCACACACGAAAGCUAGGGUAGCGAAGAGGAUUAGAUACCCUUGUAGUCCCUGAGCGGGCUGGCAAGGCGCAU